rnacentral:rRNA from 1 species
CAGUAGCCACGGUAAUACGAAGGGUGCAAGCGUUACUCGGAAUUACUGGGCGUAAAGCGUGCGUAGGUGGUUGUUUAAGUCUGCUGUGAAAGCCCUGGGCUCAACCUGGGAAUUGCAGUGGAUACUGGGCAACUAGAGUAAGGUAGAGGAUAGUGGAAUUUCCGGUGUAGCAGUGAAAUGCGUAGAGAUCGGAAGGAACAUCUGUGGCGAAGGCGACUAUCUGGGCCAUUACUGACACUGAGGCACGAAAGCGUGGGGAGCAAACAGGAUUAGAUACCCCGGUAGUCCCUGUCUCUUAUAC